rnacentral:misc_RNA from 1 species
AAUUAUUUAGAAAUUUAAAGAAACAUAUUAACUUUUUUGUAUAAACAGCUUACACUAUUUUUAUUGAUAGAUGAAACUGAAGAAAAAAAAUAAGAGGAGAAAGGUGUGGAUGUAAAGUAAAAGAAACAUGAAGAGAGAAAAAAGAAAUGAUAAGAAAGAAAUAAGGGGGAGAGAAUUAGGGUAGUUUAGAUAUAAAAGAUAAUUAUGAAAUUAAAUAGUUAAAAGAGUUAAAUUAUAAGGCUAAAUAAUAUAUUUUUUUCAAAAUAUAGGGAUUAACUAAUUAG